UUUCGAAUAACUACCAUUCAGUUAUGAAUAAGUUUUGAAUAAUCUAGUGUACCUUUCAAAUAACUACUAUUCACUUCUGUAUAACAUGAAUAUGUGCUGAAUAAAUAUUAUUCAAUAAUGAAUAUCAUACAAUAAGUUCUGAAAAAUAAGUUAAAUUAAAUUAAUAUAUUACAAUUUUUUAUGAAUGAGCAUAUUAUAAAUAAGUGAACAAAAGUAAUCGAAUAUCUACUUUAACACUCUGAAUAUUUGUUCAACUCAUUCUGGAGCUACUUGCAUAUCCCUUUCUCGGACGAUCACCCAUCCCACCUUGAUAACUUUCACUAAACCAGUCAUUUUGUCUUGCUCACGGAUUCAAAUUCUUCCAUACACCAAAUGCAGCCUAAUCAAUAUAUCACAAAUUAGAAAAAACAGAAUUCAAACACAGAAUAAGUUAAUGAACAAAGAUCAAAUCUAUUUGAAUAAACUAAAAAAGUUAAAGAAUAUACGUAGAAAAUUUAUGAAUAGAUUUCUGGUGCAUCAUACGCCGCCUCAACUGUCUGAUUCGAGAUGCCAAACACUAUAAGAUAGUUUCUGAAUAACAUAUCAAACAUACUGAACAUAAUAAUACCUUUCCUGAACAAACUAACAAAUAUUCUGAAUAAUAUCUUCUACUUACUGAAUAACUUAACAAAUGCACCGAUCACAUAAUAAUUAUCUAAUACCCAAUUAAUAAAAAUAGCUUACGAAUAACUCAACAAACAUACUGAACAACAACACGAUAUAUACUAAAUAAACUUUACAAGUAUUCUGAAUAAGUACAACUAUUUUUGAAUAACCUGAAACAUAUACUGAAUAAACGUUAGUAAAGAAAAUCAGUUAAUUAAACUCAAUAAUCAUCCAAAAAUGAUUCAAAAUUCUCAAAUAGUACGCAUUUCCUAGUCUGAAACAUAUUCAACAAUUUUUUCAGAAUGAAAUAGAGUCAGCAAAAUCCACAUAAUAUUCAAAAUAAAUCUGAANAAAAAAAUUAAAACUUUAUUCUCAUAAAUAAAAGAACCAUAUCGAGACAAACCUAAAAAUCACAGAAGAAACCUAAUUCGAAACAAGACAUUCAAACAUCACCCGAUGAAACUGAUCAGAUUCAAACGAAUAAAGGGGAAAACAAAGGAGCCCAUUAGUAAAAACAAACAAACAGAAAAGAAAAGGGAAAAAGUAGUUUACUUGAGGGAGAAUGUCUGCAAUUGAGAUGAAAAAGAAAGUGAUUUGGAAGUCAAUGCAACAUUUGCGAGAGAUUUAGGCAAAGGCCGGUUCCCAAUUCUUGAUGUGGGCUGAAUAGAACAAAUCAAACACUAAAAUCGUUAUUCGAUCAUUGAUUUUCGCAGCUGCCAAAUGUUAUUUACCAACCAACAAGAACAAAUCAAACAAUAAAGCCUAACAAGAACAACUUACACGGUUUCAGACGGCCAAAUCCAGAGCUUCGCCGCCGGAUAACUGAAUAGUCGCCGACCAAUUCCAAGCGCCGUUGUUGUAGUUGGAGAGGAAUCGCCUCUGCUGUAGGGUAUCCGAAGUGUGUCCGUGGUGGUUUGCAAAAGUCGUGGGGUGGGGGUGAGAGUAAAUUCCUUAAUUACAGACGUUAAUUUAGGAAAGACAGUUCAGUGAAUAGACAAAAUGGCAUAUAUACCCUUCAGUGAUUUUUUCAUAAUAUCUUUGACUUAUUCAGGAAAUUAAAAAACGGGAUUAAUUAUUAAAUGGGUGUAAUCUCGACCCUUAAUCCGUUCAGAUUGUUUGGUUAAGAUUAAUUCUUUAAUCUUUGCACUAAGGAGAUUCUUUAUAGAUCUCCACCCUAUAUAUAUAUAUAUAUAUAUAUAUAGUANAUUAUAUUUGUAUUAUUUAUUCACUAAAGAAUUGAAUCUAUUCAUUACAUUUAUUUAUUCAUUAUAAUCAUUUACUUAUUCAAUUAAAUGUAAACAAUAUUCAACACGUACUCAUUAAAUUAACAAAACAUAUUCAUUAAGUCAACGCUUCGAAUUGAAACAUGCAUAAGUUCUGAAUAACAUGAAUAAGUUGUGAAUAAUCUAGUGUGCCUUUCGAAUAACUACCAUUCAGUUAUGAAUAAGUUUUGAAUAAUCUAGUGUACCUUUUAAAUAACUAAUAUUCACUUCUGUAUAACAUGAUUAUGAAGCUACUUGCAUAUCCCUUUCUCAGACGAUCACCCAUCCCACCUUGAUAACUUUCACUAAACCAGUCAUUUUGUCUUGCUCACGGAUUCAAAUUCUUCCAUACACCAAAUGCAGCCUAAUCAAUAUAUCACAAAUUAGAAAAAACAGAAUUCAAACACAUAAUAAGUUAAUGAACAAAGAUCAAAUCUAUUUGAAUAAACUAUAUACGUAGAAAAUUUAUGAAUAGAUUUCUGGUGCAUCAAGCGCCGCCUCAACUGUCUGAUUCGAGAUGCCGAACACUAUAAGAUAGUUUCUGAAUAACAUAUCAAACAUACUGAACAGAAUAAUACCUUUCCUGAACAAACUAACAAAUAUUCUGAAUAAUAUCUUCUACUUACUGAAUAACUUAACAAAUGCACCGAUCACAUAAUAAUUAUCUAAUACCCAAUUAAUAAAAAUAGCUUACGAAUAACUCAACAAACAUACUGAACAACAACACGAUAUAUACUAAAUAAACUCAAUAAUCAUCCAAAAAUGAUUCAAAAUUCUCAAAUAGUACGCAUUUCCCAGUCUGAAACAUAUUCAACAAUUUUUUCAGAAUGAAAUAGAGUCAGCAAAAUCCACAGAAUAUUCAAAAUAAAUCUGAAAAAAAAAAUCAAAACUUUAUUCUCAUAAAUAAAAGAACCAUAUCGAGACAAACCUAAAAAUCAAAGUUCUUAGAUGUUCGUCGGUUCGAACCGCCACGAUUAUCAGUAUUUCGCUGAUAAACAACCAUCGUCGAGCACUGCUUUCACCGAAGUUCUGUGAAAAAUGAAACAACGAGCGAGGUUUCGGAGAAGAUGCGAAAACAAACGAUUUCAACUCAAAUUUGUUCCGUCCAACAAAUGCUAUUUGAUCGAAAUCUAAAAAUUUCAAGCAACAUCUCCUGAUUAUUCAAUAAUUUACAGAACCAAAAACCCUUACCUAGAGGUGAUGCGCCGCCGACUGGUAUAGGUUUGUGAAAAUGAAUGAAUGAAUUUGUGGUGUGUGGGUGGAUAGAGUAAAA
rnacentral:lncRNA from 1 species